ACGUGGCUGUUUUGGCUGGGUUUAGAGGGAAGCAUGAUUCCUUUGUUCUCUAUGCUUAGUCUAGGCCUUGUUCACAUUUUGAUCAAUAAUACUUUUCCCACCGGUUCCUAAUAAACCGGUGCGAAAUCAUAUUUUUCGCACCGGUUCAAACUGGUGCGAAUUAUGAAAUAUAAAAAAAAAAUAAUAAUAAAAAAAAAAAAAUCGUGCUGCUUUUCUUCUUCUUUCUUUCCAUGUUCUGUACUUUUAAUUUCCCUCUCGUUUUCGCCUUCGUUCUCUAUCCAGAAUCCCGAAUUGCCUUAGCUUUCUCACUCCAUUGAAGCAGCACCUCCGCCUUCUCACUCCACUGAAGCAGCACCUCCGCCUCCAUUGAAUCGUGCUCUAUAUUCUUCAUUGAAGCCGAAUCUGAGCUUUCUCACCUCCAUUGAAGCUGCUCCUGCAGCAGGAACUCUAAGGGUCUUAUUGUUCUAAUGAAGACUACCGAUAAGGGUAAAACAGCAGCAACAGCAAGCACUAGGCAGGCACAACACCACCAGACAACAGCUAACAGCCAGCAGAUAGCCAACAGGCUUUGCAAAAAAACAAAAUACUCUAUGCAGAUGGUACUGCUCCCACAACUUCAGACCUGGGACUCGAUAAUACUGCAGCAGAGCCUGUUAGAGAAAUGGCACAUGAUGAAUAUCCUGAGUGGUUCCUCAUUGAGAUGGGAACUGUUGCAAUCGAUGCUGCUCAAUUGACAAGCGAGCAUCAAUCAGCAAAUAGGAGAGGUCAGAGGAUGAAAACUACGAUGAAGAGUUUGUUGUCUGCUGUUUGCUGCCUGCUGGUCUGCUGUUCUGCCUGCUGUCUGCUGUUGCGGUUGCGCUGCUGUGUUCAGUGCUGCUUUGUUGACAAGUUGCUAAAUGUUUGUGCUGUUGUUGCACUGUUGCGCUGUUGGUCUGUUUGUUUUAACAGCUCGUGCUGGGUCUGGUGCUGGCUGCCUAGCCGUGGUGUAGCUUCUGGUUGCUGUUUUGCUUGUAGCUGCUGCUGGGGUUGCUGGUCAUGGUGUGGCUGUGCUGUCUCAUUCUCUGUUGCAGGCUUAGGGUCAGUGGGAGCUGCUGUAGUCUGCUGUUUUUUUUGUCUUAGUUUUUAUUCUAUUUAUCAACGAUGUAGUGCUCUUUAAUGGAUGUAUGACACAAAUAUUGAAGAAAAUAUAUGUGUUUUAUGUAUAUUAUGAUUA